UACAGAGGGGGCAAGCGUUGUCCGGAUUUACUGGGCGUACAGCGCGCGCAGGCGGUUGCGUAUGUGAGCGGUGACAUCCGCGGGCUCAACCCGCGGCGGCCCGCUUACACAGCGCGACUGGAGGCAGGGAGAGGGAUGUGGAAUACCCGGUGGAGCGGUGAAAUGCGUAGAGAUCGGGUGGAACACCAGCGGCGAAGGCGGCAUCCUGGCCCUGUACUGACGCUGAGGCGCGAAAGCCAGGGGAGCAAACGGG
rnacentral:rRNA from 1 species